GUUGACCUCGGAUCAGGUAGGAAUACCCGCUGAACUUAAGCAUAUCAAUAAGCGGAGGAAAAGAAACCAACAGGGAUUGCCUCAGUAACGGCGAGUGAAGCGGCAACAGCUCAAAUUUGAAAUCUGGCCCCAGGCCCGAGUUGUAAUUUGCAGAGGAUGCUUUUGGUGCGGUGCCUUCCAAGUUCCCUAGAACGGGACGCCAGAGAGGGUGAGAGCCCCGUACAGUUGGACACCAAGCCUUUGUAAAGCUCCUUCGACGAGUCGAGUAGUUUGGGAAUGCUGCUCAAAAUGGGAGGUAUAUUUCUUCUAAAGCUAAAUACCGGCCAGAGACCGAUAGCGCACAAGUAGAGUGAUCGAAAGAUGAAAAGCACUUUGAAAAGAGGGUUAAACAGCACGUGAAAUUGUUAAAAGGGAAGCGCUUGUGACCAGACUUGCGUCCGGUGAAUCACCCAGCUCUCGCGGCUGGGGCACUUCGCCGGCUCAGGCCAGCAUCAGCUCGCUGUCGGGGACAAAAGCUUCAGGAACGUAGCUCUCUCCGGGGAGUGUUAUAGCCUGUUGCACAAUACCCUUCGGCGGGCUGAGGUACGCGCUCCGCAAGGAUGCUGGCAUAAUGGUCAUCAGCGAC
rnacentral:rRNA from 1 species